GUCUCUCGCUCGCGCCGUUGCAUCCUUGCUCCUGCGAGCCCCACCACUAGCCACGCGAGGAGCUGCAACCGGAGGGCGGAGGAGUUGCUACCGGCCACUCGGAGAGCUCGACCGGCGGGCAGAGGAGCUACAAGCCGGGAACAAAACCGACGACCGCCGUGCUGGAUUCAGCACGCCAGGGUGCUGCAACCGGCAGAUCAAAAAUAGCUGCAACUACCUUUUGUAUUUGCUGGGACCGGUGAGAAAUUUCGCUGCGACCAUCGACGGAGAGAGGGCAACCACCAUCAGAAGAUGCUUCAACCUCGGCGCGGCGGAGCUACAAGUGUAGGUCCGGGAGCUGCAACCAGCCAGACAAAUGAUGGAACCGGCGACGACCGUGUUGUGUCGGCGACGGCGGCGGUCCACCAUUGCUGGAACUAGCUACAUUUUUUGCUGGAACUACCAUUAUUUUUUGCUGGAACUGGAUUUUUUUGUUGCUACAAUCAACUAGUGUGUUUGCUGCUGAGUUUUUUUUUUGCUGGAACCAGCAUUUGUGUUUGCUGGAACUGGCUUUUUUGUUUGCUACAAUCAUCUUUCUCAGAUUUGUACUGCUGAGAUUAUUUUUGCUAGAAACGUCAUCAAUUUUUGGUACCAUCGUAUUCUUGUUUUGCUGGAAUCAUCAUUUUUUUUCAAGGAUCCAACUUGAUGGUGAUGCGGGUAGUUUAUUAUUAUUUUUUUGAACUUUGACGGCGAGCGUCGACGGGGAGCACGGCAGCAACCCGUUGAC
rnacentral:rRNA from 1 species